rfam:Felis catus isolate Cinnamon breed Abyssinian chromosome E1, whole genome shotgun sequence.
GCCUGGGUGGCUCAGUCGGUUGAGCGGCUGACUUCGGCUCAGGUCACGAUCUCGCGGUCCGUGAGUUCGAGCCCCGCGUCGGGCU